UUUAUGAGAUCCUUGUAGAGUAACAUAAUCCAUGUUUGUCCUAGCUAUGGCACGACUGAUAAGAACCCCCACGAGGACAGAAGUUUGUGGUUUUGCAAAGAAGCGAGACAUAUUAUUGAUAUUUUACUAUAAUUACCGUAUGCAUCCGCUUCAUAGCCUCGAACAACAUUUGGAUCUGCUAGAUUGUAUUAUUCAGAUGUUACGG
rnacentral:lncRNA from 1 species